rnacentral:rRNA from 1 species
GAUGAACGCUGGCGGCGUGCUUAACACAUGCAAGUCGAACGGAAAGGCUCCUGCUUGCAGGGGUACUCGAUUGGCGAACGGGUGAGUAACACGUGUGUGAUCUGCCCUGCACUUCGGGAUAUGCCUGGGAAACUGGGUCUAUUACCGGAUAGGACGAUUGUUUGGAUGCCAUUGUGGAAAGUUGUGCGGUGUUGGCUGAGCUCGAGGCCUAUCAGCUUGUUGGUGGGGUAAUGGCCUACCAAGGCGUCGACGGGUAGCCGGCCUGAGAGGGUGGACGGCCUCAUUGGGACUGAGGUACGGACCAGACGCCUACGGGAGGCAGCAGUGGGGAAUAUUGCACAAUGGGCGCAAGCCUGAUGCAGCGACGCCGCGUGGGGGAUGACGGCCUUCGAGUGGUAAACUCCUUUCGCUAGGAACGAAGCGCAAGUGACGGUACCUAGAGAAGAAGCACCGGCUAACUACGUG